UACGUAGGGUGCAAGCGUUGUCCGGAAUCAUUGGGCGUAAAGAGCGUGUAGGCGGCCCGAUAAGUCCGCUGUGAAAGUCCAGGGCUCAACCCUGGAAUGCCGGUGGAUACUGUCGGGCUAGAGUCCGGAAGGGGCGAGUGGAAUUCCUGGUGUAGCGGUGAAAUGCGCAGAUAUCAGGAGGAACACCAAUGGCGAAGGCAGCUCGCUGGGACGGUACUGACGCUGAGACGCGAAAGCGUGGGGAGGCAAACAGG
rnacentral:rRNA from 1 species